UCCAUCAACUUCUAACGUCAGAAAAAUACUCAAGCCUUCGGUUUAGUUAAGCCUGAAUUCGUACCUGCCCAAGGGCUAGGUGUGCUUUAAUAAUUAUGAAGGAAGAAUCAAGGUGUUCAUUUUGUGUGAAGCUCUUUAAAUGGUUUCCAGUCUUGUUUAUAACUGCUGUCAUUGGUUGGUCAUAUUACUCCUAUGUUAUUCAGCUGUGCUUCCUAACUGUGGAGGAUAUGGAUGAGAAAGUUUGUUAUCUCAUAACCUAUCAUCCAUUACUUGUAUUGUUCCUGUGGUCCUACUGGCAAACAAUAUUUACAGAUGUAUAUUCCAUUCCAAAACAGUUUAAAAUACCAGCUGCUGAAUUUGAGAAACUCCAAAAAGAACCAAAUGAAGAAAAUCAGCGUCGUCUUCUUGAACAGUUGUCAACAGACCUCCCUGUUUUGUGCCGUACUUUUAGUGGUGCAAUUAGAGUCUGUGAAAAAUGCCGUAUGAUCAAGCCUGAUAGAGCCCACCAUUGUUCUGUUUGUGGCAAGUGUGUAUUGAAAAUGGAUCAUCACUGCCCUUGGGUAAACAACUGUGUGUCUUUUUCCAACUACAAGUUUUUUAUCCUUUUCCUUGGAUAUGCUCUUGUUUAUUGCGUUUUUAUAAGUUUGACAACUUUGCAGUACUUCAUAAAAUUCUGGACUAACAACUUGAAAGGAUAUGGGAAGUUCCACAUUCUAUUCUUGUUUUUUGUAGCAGUUAUGUUUGCUAUCAGUCUCGUAUCUCUGUUUGGAUUUCACUGUUAUCUCAUAAUUGCAAACAGAUCAACACUAGAGUCUUUCAGACCACCAGUUUUUAGGAUGGGUCCAGAUAAAAAUGGUUUUAGUAUAGGAAGAUAUCAGAACUUCAUUCAGGUGUUUGGAAAUGAUAAGGUGAAAUGGUUUCUUCCUGUUCAUACCAGCUUAGGUGAUGGGGUGGCUUUUCCACAAAGACCAAGAGAUGAAGAUACAGACAGUCUCCUUAAUCCACGUCAACACCAUUGUGAAGAGGUGGGGGAUGAGGAGGACCUUUCAUCUCCAGAACAAACAUCUGAUGUUGAGCAUUUUGGAUGUAUGAUGUCAUGAACAUAGCCAUAUCUACAGUCAGAGUCAGAAAAAUAUUCUUUAGACUUGAUGGUAUAUGAACUUUUGCAACUAUCAUCCCAUAUUUGUAUUUUUGGGGAGGGAGAAGGAGGGUCCACGACAUUUGGACUCGUAGAAAACCACCAGGCUCCCCUCAAUUUUCUUCAGAAUAGUUUUAUUUCAUCAGGAGUUACUGUACUGUGUUGAAGAAAGUACAGUCAUGAAAAAAAAUGUACUGGAAUCUGCAACAUUUAUGGGGAAACUCGAGAGAACAUAGGAUUGAUCAAGAACUUUUCCUCAAGAUGAAAAAAAAAUGUUUAGCAAUACAAUACAAAUAGUUUUUGAUAAUGUGGCUUGGAAAUAAUAGGUAAUUAUAAAAUGUUAUAAAGUGUUAGUAUUUGAAGAGUUGUUGAUGAGAAGUUUACCUGUACUCAAUCUAAUCUCUUUGUAUUGUUUUUUAAUAUCUUCUUAAAGGCUAUUUUCAUGUAAAUAGUACUUUUACUCUGUGUACUAGCAAAAGUUCAUUAAGAUCAGUUUCACUUUUACAUUGCUCUUAAGUACUUUAAAAAGUGGUACCAUUUGUGAACUGUUUGGAGACAAGUUAUUCAGCUUUGGAAUGUAAAUAGCAAUUCAAGAAAAUAUCUUGCAUAUAACUGGAAAUAAUUUGUGAUUCUGAUGUUGCUGAUUUGUGAUAUAUUAAAGUGGUAUAUUAAA
rnacentral:misc_RNA from 1 species